UACGUAGGGGGCAAGCGUUGUCCGGAUUUAUUGGGCGUAAAGAGCGUGUAGGCGGCCAGGUAGGUCAGCUGUGAAAACUCGAGGCUCAACCUCGAGCUGUCGGCUGAAACCAUCUGGCUAGAGUCCGGAAGAGGAGAAUGGAAUUCCCGGUGUAGCGGUGAAAUGCGCAGAUAUCGGGAAGAACACCCGUGGCGAAGGCGGUUCUCUGGGACGGUACUGACGCUGAGACGCGAAAGCGUGUGGAGCGAACAGG
rnacentral:rRNA from 1 species